UACGGGGGGGGUAAGCGUUGUUCGGAAUUACUGGGCGUAAAGGGCGCGUAGGCGGCCUUCUAAGUCGAACGUGAAAUCCCCGGGCUCAACCCGGGAACUGCGUCCGAGACUGGAAGGCUCGAAUCCGGGAGAGGGAUGUGGAAUUCCAGGUGUAGCGGUGAAAUGCGUAGAUAUCUGGAGGAACAUCGGUGGCGAAGGCGGCAUCCUGGACCGGUAU
rnacentral:rRNA from 1 species